AAAAAUAUCUUAAGACGUUAAGCGCCAAGCCUGUUUUGUCUUCCUUUCCAUUGAGCCCGCGAUAUCUGAUUUCACCAAUAAGCUGGCGGCACCAGUGACUGACCGGUCCAGAUGGGAAGUAUAGUGUCAGUCACCGGGGACUGACAUGGUGCUUAACGCGUUAAGAAAAUUGCUAUAAGAAAAUUAUUGUAAUGUAGCUUCACAGACUAAGGAAAAUUGUCCAAAUAGAUCACUAUCUGCUAAAGCUAAUAAUUCAGCAGGUCUUGUGUGCUAUAAAAUUGUCCCAUUAUCCUAAUGACUAACAACAUCAGCAUUGAAAAGGUGGUCCAGGCUGGCAGAGGAGCACGCCAGUUGCCUAAGGAACUGUCUGUCCUGCCUGCCUGGCACCAAAGCCCAACAUAAUGAGAAGACUAAACUUUGAUGGGUCAAAAGGAAAUAAUUAACGAGGCUACUUUGUGUCCACAAUACUGAAAGCCAAGUAAAAAGAUUUUAAAGAGAGAUCAUCUGGUGGUACAUUAGGAAGACUGUUAUCCUGUAGUGAGAAAACAGAACUUCAGAAAUGAAAUGAUCAUUAACAUGAAAGAUGUUCAGAAUUAACAGGCUCAGAUGAAACACUGCCACACUGGACAAAGGUGGAACACAGUUACCAUAUAACCCAACAACUCUAUUCCUAGGCAUACACACACAAGAGCUCAUUGAAGUCCCGAAUAUUCUGCAAAGUAGCCGAGUCCCAGCCCUUCGGUGACUGUCUUCUGACAGGAGCCUGCACCCGAUGCCGCGCCAUAUCAAAUAUGUCCAUGGGGCUCCUUUCUCUUUUCCUGUAAGUGAC